AAAAAUUAAAAAAAAGGGAAGAAGUUGUGUUCUUGUUUAGUUCUUUAUGCACUUCUGGUUUCUACCAGCUCUUCCUUGGCUGUAUUUGGAAGUCUCUUGUGUGGAAAAAAGAAAAUGGAAUCAUGUAUUUAAUAGAGGUGGAAUGAAUCAUUUAGCAAGGCUGGAUCCAUUUGACUGUGGGUUGGACAUGCUGACAUGGAUUAAUGAGACACUCUAAAGACCAGUUUGCAGAUCUUACCUGCUCCAUGGGUGGCUUGUCAUUUGAACCACCAGAAGUGAGCCACGGUCCCAUUUUUCACUGCUAUUCCCAACAAAUGAACCAAGAGCAGUAAAUCCCAUCAAAGAGAUAAUCUUGGGACAGAGGUAAAGAGAAGAUAUUUUUCCCACUCUGAACCCUGCUGCAGCUCUGCAGUGCUUUUUGUGUCAGAUUACACCUGGGCCACGUUGGAGGGACCAGGACUGCAUUCAGCAGUUUGCUUGUAUGGUGCUCAUCAAGAUUGUCCCUCUCCUGCAGAGAGGAACUGUGAAGUUUGCCAUGAAAUUGGCCCUGUAUGGGAGAGUUGUGAUAUCUAAGUGCUAGUUUGAGUGUUUGAGCCUCCUCUGUUACACCAGGCUGCAGUUAAUUCUACUGAAUAUGUUACAGUGGCAUCCUGAGGGGUGUU